UGAGGUCGAAGUGUACCCCGCGUGCCCACCAAUGGCGUAUCGGGGAAUGGAACCGACCGAG
rnacentral:snoRNA from 14 species